ensembl:lncRNA
CGGGACUCUUAAUUAAUCAGAACUAUUCCUUUUGUUAGUUGCCCAUGACGUGGGUUAUGAUUCCCCAUAGUCCCACAGACCCCACUACCAGGAAUUAAGCCAAAAAUAUAUAUUUCAUGGGGAUUUGAACUAGCAACCUACAGGUCAUUAAUGUGUUUCUAGAGUUGGUGGAUCUCCGCUGUUUGCUUUCUGCUACACGCCUGUUUUUCGGAGUGAGUUUGGAAAUAAAUAAAUGCACGUGCAUGGAACCCAUCCAGGAUUAGCGACAGCUGACUAUUUAAAGGAGGCACAGCGGCAGUGUUUGGACCGCAGUCUCAAGAGACCAAUGCAGCACUGCAGCAUGCAGCAAAUAUACAUGCAGAGUGAUGAGCAGUUUGAGGUCUUUACCACAGUGUUCUCUCCCAAAGGUGAGUUAGACCACACACACACAAACACACAUCAACGCGCACGCAUAUACCCACACACAACGGUUGUAUCCAUCCUGUAGUUUGACCCAUUAUGAUGACUAGAGCCUUCCAAGUCUGGUUUAACAUUGACAGUGUUGUUUGUACGGUUCAAUCUAAACAAAUGUAGAUCUGAAAAAUGUCCACGUUCAAAUGCUCAUGAGUAUGAGCAUUUGAUCAUAGAAAUCUGUUUAAUUUACAUUUGUGGUGUCAAAUGUUCUAGUAGUGGUUCUAUUCUAUUUGUGUGGCACGGCUUAGCAAUUUCUUUCCCCCAGUUGGCAGAUCAAGGGUGAGACUCCGACCUGCAGAUGAAGAUAAGGCGAGUACAGUGGUGGUGACCAUUCACAAUAGGGCCCAAGGUCCAGAAGAACUGGACCUGAGCCAAGGUGAUGUCAUCCAGGUUUUGGUCAAAGAGGACAAAACGUGGUGGUUUGGACGUCUACCCAACGGAAACGAGGGCUACUUCCCAUCAGCCUGUGUCGCCACAUGUGGGCCGGACGGGGAAUCAGGGGAAGCCACGCCCACCCUCUUAAGGAGAGCCUCUGUGCCUGUUGUUAUGGCAACCCCGGCGUCCUGUAACCUUCCCGGUGAGGGCAAUGGGCUUGGAACGCCGAAGCUGUCCAGGAAGAACAGCAUUCGGCGUGCCCUGGCACUUGACAGCCCUUCCAUGAAGGGAGGUGGUGUUCUUCAGGGAUCCCCCAGCCUCAUCCACCGUGUCCUGGCUAAAUCCAGGAGGAAGAGCUGCCCUCACCUCCCACCAGUCUCCGCAAAGCCGGGCUCCAUCAACUCAGCUUACCUGCCUGAAUAGGAUGCCUUCAGAGAAGCAUUUAGACUUAAGCAUUAAGACUCUGAAGCCUCAAGCCCAUUUGACGUUUCAUGAGGACUUGGAAUUUCCUAUUUGAAGCGAACGAAAAAAUAUAGGCACGCUGCAUUACAUUCGCUUUCCUUUAACAAAUAUCAGUGUUUCCCCUUUAAUUGUGUUUAUAACACAAUUAAAGUGAGAACCCCUGCCAGGCCAAAAAACAAUAUGUGUAAAAUGUAAUACAUGUCCUAAAUCUCAACGAGUACUAGUGCAUUCAAUUUGUAGGUCUGCGAAAGUAUCCAUCAAUGUACACAUAUGGAAAGUCAGUUUUAUCUAGGGAUGCACCAGUACCCGAUGCUGUGCUCAUGUACUCGUAAAACCUCUCCGAUACAACCACCCGAUGCCACUUUACGCAACGUGAAGUAACGCGAAGUAAGUCCUCAAUUUAGUGAAACAAGGUGCACUGGAGGACUCGGUUUGUGUGGACGUGUGGAGCUCUGUAUGAGAGAAAGUUUUGCUUUUUCUGAAACUCAUUGUGUACCGCGACAGUAUGUUGAUAGUCGAGCUCCGUCUGAGCAGUGAUUUAUUUAAUACCAGCGCCCUAGGGUUAGGAUUCCCGUACAACUAUAAUGUUAUCGCUAGAGUGUGUAGCGCAUUUCAUAUACAACAUCGUUGGAUAUGGAAAAACGUUAUAACGCUUAAACACGAC